UACGUAGGGUGCAAGCGUUAAUCGGAAUUACUGGGCGUAAAGCGUGCGCAGGCGGUUUUGUAAGCCAGAUGUGAAAGCCCCGGGCUCAACCUGGGAAUGGCAUUUGGGACUGCAAGGCUGGAGUUUGGCAGAGGAGACUGGAAUUCCUGGUGUAGCAGUGAAAUGCGUAGAUAUCAGGAGGAAUACCGAUGGCGAAGGCAGGUCUCUGGGCUAUAACUGACGCUCAUGCACGAAAGCGUGGGAGCAAACAGG
rnacentral:rRNA from 1 species